UGGGGAAUUUUGGACAAUGGGCGAAAGCCUGAUCCAGCAAUGCCGCGUGUGUGAAGAAGGCCUUCGGGUUGUAAAGCACUUUUGUCCGGAAAGAAAUCCUUGGCUCUAAUACAGUCGGGGGAUGACGGUACCGGAAGAAUAAGCACCGGCUAACUACGUGCCAGCAGCCGCGGUAAUACGUAGGGUGCAAGCGUUAAUCGGAAUUACUGGGCGUAAAGCGUGCGCAGGCGGUUUGCUAAGACCGAUGUGAAAUCCCCGGGCUCAACCUGGGAACUGCAUUGGUGACUGGCAGGCUAGAGUAUGGCAGAGGGGGGUAGAAUUCCACGUGUAGCAGUGAAAUGCGUAGAGAUGUGGAGGAAUACCGAUGGCGAAGGCAGCCCCCUGGGCCAAUACUGACGCUCAUGCACGAAAGCGUGGGGAGCAAACAGGAUUAGAUACCCUGGUAGUCCCACGCCCUAAACGAUGUCAACUAGUUGUUGGGGAUUCAUUUCCUUAGUAACGUAGCUAACGCGUGAAGUUGACCGCCUGGGGAGUACGGUCGCAAGAUUAAAACUCAAAGGAAUUGACGGGGUCAUAGCUGUUUCCU
rnacentral:rRNA from 1 species